rnacentral:rRNA from 1 species
GAUGAACGCUGGCGGCGUGCCUAAUACAUGCAAGUCGAGCGAACGGACGAGAAGCUUGCUUCUCUGAUGUUAGCGGCGGACGGGUGAGUAACACGUGGAUAACCUACCUAUAAGACUGGGAUAACUUCGGGAAACCGGAGCUAAUACCGGAUAAUAUUUUGAACCGCAUGGUUCAAAAGUGAAAGACGGUCUUGCUGUCACUUAUAGAUGGAUCCGCGCUGCAUUAGCUAGUUGGUAAGGUAACGGCUUACCAAGGCAACGAUGCAUAGCCGACCUGAGAGGGUAUGCGGCAACCGAGGAAUGGAGCCGCGGCCCAGCCUCCUAGGGGAGGGACAAGGGGGAAACUUUCGACAGAGGGAGAAAGCCUGACGGGACCACGGCGGGGGAGGAAUAACGGUUUUGGAAUGUUAAAAUUUUUUAAUUAGGGAAAAACAUUUGUGUAGGAAAGUGUACACAUCUUAGCGAUACUUACUAGAAAGACCACGGGUAAGACCUUG